rnacentral:rRNA from 1 species
UACGGAGGAUACGAGCGUUAUCCGGAUUUAUUGGGUUUAAAGGGUGCGCAGGCGGGAGAUUAAGUCGGCGGUGAAAUUUUGCAGCUCAACUGUAAAAGUGCCUUCGAAACUGGUUUCCUUGAGUGUAGAUGAAGUAGGCGGAAUUUGUGGUGUAGCGGUGAAAUGCAUAGAUAUCACGAGGAACUCCGAUUGCGCAGGCAGCUUACUAAUCCAUCAUUGACGCUGAGGCACGAAAGCGUGGGGAUCAAACAGGAUUAGAUA